rnacentral:rRNA from 1 species
CUAGUUGGCGAGGUAACGGCUCACCAAGGCAACGACGGGUAGCUGGUCUGAGAGGAUGGCCAGCCACAUUGGGACUGAGAUACGGCCCAGACUCCUACGGGAGGCAGCAGUGGGGAAUCUUGCGCAAUGGCCUAACGGCUGACGCAGCGACGCCGCGUGUGGGAUGAAGCUCCUCGGAGUGUAAACCACUGUUGCCCGGGACGAAUAGCUCGAUUAAUCGAGCCUGACGGUACCGGGUGAGGAAGCACCGGCUAACUCCGUGCCAGCAGCCGCGGUAAUACGGGGGGUGCGAGCGUUGUCCGGAAUCACUGGGCGUAAAGGGCGCGUAGGUGGUUUGAUAAGGGUGUGGUGAAAGUCCGGGGCUCAACCCCGGAUCUGCCGUGCCGACUGUCAAACUCGAGGGCUGUAGAGGCAGGCGGAAUUCCGGGUGUAGCGGUGGAAUGCGUAGAGAUCCGGAGGAAGACCGGUGGCGAAGGCGGCCUGCUGGGCAGUUUCUGACACUGAUGCGCGACAGCGUGGGGAGCAAACAGGAUUAGAUACCCUGGUAGUCCACGCCGUAAACGAUGGGUACUAGGUGCCUGGGGGAGCGACCCUCUGGGUGCCGGCGCUAACGCAGGAAGUACCCCGCCUGGGGAGUACGACCGCAAGGUUGAAACUCAAAGGAAUUGACG